CAAGAUUUCUUGUUUGUCAAGUAAAUGUUUGAUGAACAAUAGUAUAAAUACCCCGAGGCAUCCUCAUUGUUGACGGCAACAUGGAAUACAACCUUCUGAUAAAGGCUGCACUGCAAGGGUGCACAAAUCUUCAGCUUCAUGGUGGAUUCAAUAAUCCUAAUAGUACUUAUCGCAUUAAGGUAAAAUGCAAAAGGUGCCAAGAGGAAAAUGUCAUUGAAAUGAGCUUGGGCCAUGUUCCAACUUCUUCAAGCACUAGCAGAAAAACCAACUCCUAGCAAGAGUCCAGUUCACUUUGAUGGCCAGUGUAACAUCAAAAGCUGUGCACAAAAGAUUUGGGCGCAAAUGAUUCCUGGAUGUGGUGCACCCUAUGCAGAAACUCCAAGGUGGAAUACAAAGAAAUUAUGAAAUUUAAAUUUGGAGGAGCUAAGCCUGUAGGGUUUAUUUUUGGUGGAGGCUGGGAGUUUGAAUCUCUGCACAGGCUGGCUACUUAUAAGGGCUACACGUUGGAUGACUAUGUUCAAAAGGGCAAGAACACAAGCGAAGAACAAAGUGAUGAAUUAUGCAGCCUGAUUGAUGACAUAGUUUUGGAGCCUAAGAUUUUAUAUGUUAAUGCUAAAUUUGAGAAGUGCUAGCAGCCAAAGUGAUUAUAGGAUUUCUGCUUUUAUUUGUGUUUAAUACCUAGUUGGGUUGUAAUAAAAGAUUUGGGACUAGGCUGUACAUAGAAAAGUCUAUUAAAUAAGAUCAUUUGUACAUAUAAUUGGGGUGUAAUAAAUUUUUUUUAACAUUAAA